CUUAUUACCGCGUUUACUGUCGACAUUAAUUUUACAGGGUGCUGGAGAAUUCGCCGAGGCUGCAACAAGUUAUAGUUGUAAGAACUGUUAUGUGCCUGAUAAAAAUCCUUUCAUAGAUGAUAAUAGGUGCUUCCUAAUAUGCGGGUAAAGAAGAUUUGCGUAAGAUCCUGGGGCCACUGGGCAAAAGGAUAGAGGUGCACCAGUGGACAAGGUCCAAGAGGGGUCAGUGGCUUUGCAGGUUGUUAGGUAGAUCCUGGAAUUGGAACUCCUGGCUGUAAAGGAGAGCCCGGACAAACAGGUCAACCCGGAUUGCCUGGGGCUGCUACAGGCGCUGGAAGCAAGGGGACAAGGAGACCCUGGUAAUGAUGGAAAACCUGUACGGGAUG